UACAUAGGGGGCAAGCGUUGUCCGGAAUGACUGGGCGUAAAGGGUGUGUAGGCGGCUUCGUAAGUUGGAAGUGUAAUACCUAGAGCUUAACUCAGGUGCUGCUUCCAAAACUGCGGGGCUUGAGUGUCGGAGAGGAAAAUGGAAUUCCUAGUGUAGCGGUGGAAUGCGUAGAUAUUAGGAGGAACACCAGAGGCGAAAGCGAUUUUCUGGACGAUAACUGACGCUGAGGCACGAAAGCGUGGGGAGCAAACAGG
rnacentral:rRNA from 1 species